rnacentral:rRNA from 1 species
CCUUAAAGCCGACACACCGCGGAACACAUGCAACCCGAUUAACAAAUCUGCGCGCGCACAGCCUACCCAAGGCGGACCGCUGACCAACGCGAAAAGAACUUGCCCAGAAUACAGGGACAACACACGGAAACGACUGAUAACACCCGACACAGUUGCCGGCGCGCAUGCCCCCGGCAAUGAAAAGAGAUGCAGCAGGAGACCCCCCCGCCCCACCAGCUUGUUGGCGAGGUAACGGCUCACCAAGGCGCACAUAGGGAGCGGGACUGAAAGGGAGAACGGCCGCACGGGGAGUGAGAUACGGCCCUUACUCCCACGGGAGGCAGCAACGAGGAAUAUUGGACAAUGGGGGCAACCCUGAUCCAGAAAUUCUGUGCGCACGAAGAAGGUCUUCGGAUUGAAAAGAGCUUACAGCACGGCAACAAGAAAGUGACGGUACCUGCACAAGAAGCGACGGCUAAAUACGCGCCAGCAGCCGCGGUAAUACAUAUGUCGCAAGCGCCAUCCCGAAUUAUAGGGCAUAAAGGGCAUCUAGGCGGCCAGACAAGUCUGGGGUGAAAACCUGCGGCUCAACCGCAAGCCUGCCCUGAAAACUGUCUGGCUAGAGCGCUGGAGAGGUGGACGGAACUGCACGAGUAGAGGUGAAAUUCGCAGAAAUGUGCAGGAACGCCGAUGAAGAAGAAAGUUCACUGGACGGCAACUGACGCUGAAGUGCGAAAGCUGGGGGCAGCGAACAGGAUUAUAUACCCUGGUAGUCCUACCCGUAAACGAUGAUUACUGGGUGUGGGCAGUGAUCAAUGUCUGUGCCGACGCACAUGCCAUAAGUAAUCCCCCUGCGGAGGACGGCCACCCGGCUGAAACUCAAACGAAUUGGCAGGGACCCGCCCCCCCGCCGGAGCAUGUGGUUUUUUUCUUACUUUCCGCGAGGAACAUUAACCGAUCUCGAGAUCCUACGGAUGCCUGUGAGAACAGGGAGUGCCUUCUGGCAUGUACAAACAGGAGGUGCAGGGCUGUCGACAGCUCCUGUCGUGAGAUGUUGGGUUAUUUCCCUAAACCAGAGAAAACCCCAUCGAUAGUAAUCAUCAUUACGUUCGGGAGUCUAGUGAGACUGCCUUGCCAGAACAGGAGGAACGUGGGGAUGAGGUCAAGUCAUCCUGCCCCUUAUGAUCUGGGCUACACUCGGGCUACAAUGGUGGGUAAAUAGAGCUGCCAAGCAGCUACGCCAAGCGAAACUUUUAACCCAUCUCUCGUAUCGAAUUGAAGUAUCGCAAUCAGACUCUCUGAAGCUGGCAAUCUAAAGUACUCAAAAAUCACAUUGCUGCGACGAAUACAUUCUCGGGUUU